AGGCGAUGGACUAGAAAUCCAUUGGGGCCCCCCCGCACAGGUUCGAAUCCUGUCGACUGCG
rnacentral:tRNA from 1 species